AAAGGAGAGAACCCUUCCAAACUCAUUCUACGAGGCUAAUAUUACCUUGAUACCAAAACCAGACAAAGACACAUCAAGGAAAGAAAACUUCAGACCAACCUGAUGAACAUAAAAGCAACAAUUCUCAAUAAAAUUCUGGCAAGUCACAUACAAAAACAUAUUAAAAAGAUAGUGCACCACAAUCAAGUGGGAUUUAUCCCAGAGAUGCAGGGUUGGUUCAACAUAUGGAAAUCAAUAAACAUAAUUCAUCAUAUUGAUAGACUUAAAAACAAGAAUCAUAAGAUCAUGUCAAUUGAUAACAGAAAAAGCAUUUGACAAAAUACAGAACACCUUCAUGUUUGAAACACUAGAAAAACUAGAGACAGUAGGAACAUACCUCAACUUGUAAAAGCUAUGUAUGCUAAAUCCAAGGCCAGUAUCAUUCUAAAUGGAGAAAAAUUGAAAGCAUUCCCUCUAAAAACUGGAACAAGACAAGGAUGUACUCUUUCACCCCUUCUAUUCAACAUCAUCUUUGAAACUCUAGCCAGAGAAAUUAGACCAAAAUAAAAAAGAAGAACUCAAACUAUCACUAUUUGCUGAUGACAUGAUUCUGUAUCUAAAAGAUCCAAAAAAUUCAACCAGAAAACUUCUAGAGCUAAUAAGUGAAUUCAGCAAAGUAGCAGGAUAUAAAAUCAACACCCAUAAAUCAAAUUCAUUCCUAUACAUCAGUGAUGAAUUCACUGAAAGAGAAAUUAGAAAAACCACCUCACUCACAAUAGCCUCAAAAAAAAAAAAAACUUGGAAAUCAAUCUAACAAAAGAGGUGAAAUACCCCUACAAUUAAAACUACAGAACACUAAAGAAAGAAAUUGAAGAAAACCACAGAAGAUGGACUGAUCUCCCAUGCUCCUGGAUAGGUAGAAUUACUGUUAUCAAAAUGGCUAUACUACCAAAAGCGUUAUACAGAUUUAAUGCAACUCUUACUAAAAUUCCAAUUACAUUCUUCAUAGAAAUAGAAAAAG
rnacentral:lncRNA from 1 species